GGUGGAAUUCCCGGUGUAGCGGUGAAAUGCGUAGAGAUCGGGAGGAAUACCAGUGGCGAAGGCGGCCUUCUGGACUGACACUGACGCUGAGGCGCGAAAGCGUGGGUAGCAAACAGGAUUAGAUACCCUGGUAGUCCACGCCGUAAACGAUGUCGACCAGCCGUUGGACCCCUUGAGGGUCUGGUGGCGCAGUUAACGCAAUAAGUCGACCGCCUGGGGAGUACGGCCGCAAGGCUAAAACUCAAAUGAAUUGACGGGGGCCCGCACAAGCGGUGGAGCAUGUGGUUUAAUUCGAUGCAACGCGAAGAACCUUACCUGCCCUUGACAUCCUGCGAACCCGGAAGAGAUUCCGGGGUGCCUUCGGGAACGCAGAGACAGGUGCUGCAUGGCUGUCGUCAGCUCGUGUUGUGAAAUGUUGGGUUAAGUCCCGUAACGAGCGCAACCCCUAUCCCUUUUUGCCAGCGGUCCGGCCGGGAACUUCAGGGAGACUGCCGGUGACAAACCGGAGGAAGGUGGGGACGACGUCAAGUCAUCAUGGCCCUUACGGGCAGGGCUACACACGUGCUACAAUGGCCGGUACAAAGGGUUGCGAAGCGGCGACGUGAAGCCAAUCCCAUAAAGCCGGCCUCAGUCCGGAUCGGAGUCUGCAACUCGACUCCGUGAAGUCGGAAUCGCUAGUAAUCGUGGAUCAGAAUGCCACGGUGAAUACGUUCCCGGGCCUUGUACACACCGCCCGUCACACCAUGGGAGUGGACUGCACCAGAAGUGGUUAGCUUAACCUUCGGGAGAGCGAUCACCACGGUGUGGUUCAUGACUGGGGUGAAGUCGUAACAAGGUAACC
rnacentral:rRNA from 1 species